rnacentral:rRNA from 1 species
UUCCGGUUGAUCCCGCCGGAGGUUACUGCUAUCGAGGUUCGACUAAGCCAUGCGAGUCGAAUGUCGCAAUGCAUGGCGAACUGCUCAGUAACACGUGGACAACCUGCCCUUAGGACUGGGAUAACCCCGGGAAACUGGGAAUAAUCCCCGAUAGGCCUCGAUUGCUGGAAUGCAUCGAGAUUUAAAGCUCCGGCGCCUAAGGAUGGGUCUGCGGCCUAUCAGGUAGUAGUGGGUGUAGCGUACCUACUAGCCUACGACGGGUACGGGUUGUGAGAGCAAGAGCCCGGAGAUGGAUUCUGAGACACGAAUCCAGGCCCUACGGGGUGCAGCAGGCGCGAAAACUUUACAAUGCUGGCAACAGCGAUAAGGGAACCUCGAGUGCCAGGUUACAAAUCUGGCUGUCGAGAUGCCUAAAAAGCACUUCAUAGCAAGGGCCGGGCAAGACCGGUGCCAGCCGCCGCGGUAACACCGGCGGCUCGAGUGGUAACCGUUAUUAUUGGGUCUAAAGGGUCUGGAGCCGGCCGGAUAA